rnacentral:lncRNA from 1 species
ACAUUUCUUGCAAAUACCCCUUCCAAUGUCCAUCCUUUCAUAAAGAAAGUUUGUUCCCUUGGAGUUUAUUUUUAUCUUCUUCAUUUGACUUCCACCUUUGACUACAUUUAGUCAUAGUCCCUAAACUCCCACUAUCUCUCUUGAAACUUAUUUCAAUUGUGUUAUGCACAUCAAACAUUUUGGAGAGCAUGCGGUUUAUUGUUCACUACAUAGUUUACAAUAAACUUAGUGAACCAUUAGGAUAGGGACAUAAAGGUGAAGUCCUUGCCUAGUUUCCGUCUCGUUAAGUGGUUUAUCACUUCAACACUCAAUGAUUCAAAAUCAUCAUAAGUCCAUGUUGAUGGACUAUUUUUGUCAACCCUAAACAUAAUUACAAACUUUCAAGAGUUGUUCAAGGCAACUCUCAUUUCUUCAUACAACAAUUUGUAAGUGAAGAAUCAUGGCACAUUAAGUGUCCAUGCCUUUGUGCUUUCUUCUCAAGUUCCUUGUUCAUGUAACAAAGAAACAAGCACUAAGUGUUUGCAUUGACUAAGAGUUGUUCAAAGCAACUCCUAUUUCUUCAUACAACAUUUUGUAAUUGAAGAAUUAUGACAUUAAAAGUGUUGUCCUCUUUAUGAUAGACUUUUCUAACAUAUUCUUCUAAUGAUACAUUAUCAAUAGGAAGAUUGUGAGGAUGAGACUACUUAGGUACAUUUACAAGCCAUUAAAGACAAUCUAUGGUUUUGUAGUACCAAGUCUGGAAACUAAAGCUUUCGGCUUUUAUUUGUCAAGUGUUGGAUAGCGUUUGCAAAUAUAUUGGUAAACAAAU